UCUUGUCAAUUUGAUGUCAGGAAGGAGAACCUCUGUAGUGCUUGAUGAGCAUAGCUUCUAUCUUCCUGACAUCAAAUUGACAAGAGCUUGAUUUUCAUAGAAGGAGCCAACAUCCCAAUCCUCUGUUGAGGAUGAAAGAGUCAUUAAGGCAACCACAAUAGAUCUCAUACUUGGACGCAAAUGAGGAUUCUCUUGUGUGCAUGCCUUGGCAAGCUGGGCCAUCUUUCG
rnacentral:misc_RNA from 1 species